rnacentral:rRNA from 1 species
CGGUAACAGACCGAACCUAGUUUGGUGCUGACGAGUGGCGCACGGGUGAGUAACGCGUACACGACCUACCUUGUACUGGAGGAUAGCCCUGGGAAACCGGGAGUAAUACUCCAUGGACUGGCAACAGUAAAGCUACGGCGGUACGAGAUGGGUGUGCGUCCCAUUAGCUAGUUGGUGAGGUAACGGCUCACCAAGGCGACGAUGGAUAGGGGGCGUGAGAGCGUGGCCCCCCACACUGGUACUGGGACACGGACCAGAUACCUACGGGUAGCAGCAGCAAGGAAUAUUGCGCAAUGGGGGAAACCCUGACGCAGCAACACCGCGUGGAGGAGGAAGGCCUUCGGGUCGUAAACUCCUUUUCUGGGUGAAUAGAAAGGAAGGUAGCCCAGGAAUAAGGCCCGGCUAACUACGUGCCAGCAGCCGCGGUAAAACGUAGGGGCCAAGCGUUAUCCGGAAUUACUGGGCGUAAAGCGCGUGCAGGCGGUUAUUCAAGUUGGACGUGAAAGCUCUCGGCUCAACUGGGAGAGGUCGUUCAAAACUGAGUAACUAGAGGGUGGUAGAGGCGAGUGGAAUUCCCGGUGUAGUGGUGAAAUGCGUAGAUAUCGGGAGGAACACCAGUGGCGAAGGCGGCUCGCUGGGCCACACCUGACGCUCAGACGCGAAAGCUAGGGGAGAGAACGGGAUUAGAAACCCCGGUAUUCCUAGCCGUAAACGAUGUCCACUAGGUGUAGGGGGUAACCAAUCCCUCUGUGCUACAGCUAUCGCGAUAAGUGGACCGCCUGGGGACUACGGCCGCAAGGCUAAAACUCAAAGGAAUUGACGGGGACCCGCACAAGCAGCGGAGCGUGUGGUUUAAUUCGAGGCUACGCGAAGAACCUUACCGGGGUUUGACAUCUGCGUGGUAGCCGGUGGAAACACGGGUGACUCCUUCGGGGAGCGCAGACAGGUGCUGCAUGGCUGUCGUCAGCUCGUGCCGUGA